rnacentral:rRNA from 1 species
AACGAACGCUGGCGGCAUGCCUAACACAUGCAAGUCGAACGAGACCUUCGGGUCUAGUGGCGCACGGGUGCGUAACGCGUGGGAACCUGCCCUUAGGUUCGGAAUAACUCCCCGAAAGGGGUGCUAAUACCGGAUAAUGUCUUCGGACCAAAGAUUUAUCGCCUUUGGAUGGGCCCGCGUUGGAUUAGCUAGUUGGUAGGGUAAAAGCCUACCAAGGCGACGAUCCAUAGCUGGUCUGAGAGGAUGAUCAGCCACACUGGGACUGAGACACGGCCCAGACUCCUACGGGAGGCAGCAGUGGGGAAUAUUGGACAAUGGGCGAAAGCCUGAUGCAGCCAUGCCGCGUGAGUGAUGAAGGCCUUAGGGUUGUAAAGCUCUUUUACCCGGGAUGAUAAUGACAGUACCGGGAGAAUAAGCCCCGGCUAACUCCGUG